CUCUGCCUGAAAGGAGCCUUGCUCUUACCGUGGCCUCUUACCAUGGCUGCUUGGAGGCUGUGCAUCCCUCCCUGGUUAUACAUAUGAUGCAGCUGCACAAAGAGAAGGAAGUUUGGAUCAUCAGCUCGUUUCCAGCCACACUGAGGAAGCCUUGUAGCAGAGGAUUUCUUGGAAGAUGUUUUUUUAAUUAUAGUUGUCUACAUUGUCUUUCUUUACCUGUUGGUUGUGUUGAUUUACUCACCUUGUGCCUCUCUGAGAAAAAACCCUGAAUGUUUUUUUAUCAGGGAGCUCCUAGUCCUGAGGGCAGCGAUCUGCCUGCUCCAUGGUGAGCUGUGAUGACUCUUGCCUGCGGGAUGUUGAUCAUCUUUAAUUGCUGCUGCGUCAGCAGUCACAUCAGGCUGCCUCAGAUGCCAGUAUGAGACUUUAUUGACAGAAGGCGCAGUUUUGUAAUCCCUGCAAAUCCCCCCUUCACCUGAGCCCUUUGCGCUCACAGUCUGGAUUUACCAACCAUCUGUGAAGAGCUUUCAGAGGAUAAAAGCAGCAUUAAUGUUUUGACCCCAGUGACGGCAUCACUUGCCUGUGAUCCCUAAGAGCCCAGUUCAGCAGGAGCUCAGAGCUUAGUCUGUCUUCUGUGUUUGCUGAUACUCAGCGUUGCAGAUUGCCAAGGGACUCGCUGGUAUGAGAUUAUCCAUUAGAGGAAAACUAGAGAGAAGAUUGUUCUGGAAUACAGACUGCUUCUAAAUGCUCCUGAGUGGUGUUGAAAUGGGGGGACCAGCCUCAAUGAUGUGCCUAAGAACUUGCUACAUAGAGGACUGUAAACCAUUCCAUUUCACGGGAAAUCCGCCUGACCUGGGACCAUCCCAUCUCUCCAGGAACUGCGCUUACUCUCAUAAGAUAACAAAGCAAAAGCGGUCUAACAGUAUUAGCACGUGUAUCUUGCCCAUCAUCCCAGAGUAUCCAGGCUUCCAAGACAUUAAGUUGUCAAGAAAUUAUCCAGAAACUCGAGGCUUCAACCGGCUUUUCCAGGAUUUGGAAAGACGAAAGAGCUCUUCCUCACAGCUGAACAGUUUUCCAAACACAGCUUCAUUAGCCCAUUGCUUGGGGUGCUCCUCAAGAGGCUACCCGAAAGGCCAACCGGAACACUGCACUGGCUUCCAUGACAAACCCUUGCAAGAAUAUUUCAAUGAGAGGCUGAUGGAGCUCAGGAACUACGAAAGUAAGAGAUCCAAUAGGAAGACCAAGGGAUUUCCUGACAAAAACCAGAACCCCUUCCUCGCCCGCAGAGGAUCUCGGCGCAGAAGCAGUUGCGGUGCUGUGGUAAUGGUUGGGUAUAACAAGGAGACAGAAGAAUCCUGCAGCUCAGCAAAUCAAGAAAACAAAAAAGCAAUAGAACACAAUGGUCAAAAGGAAACCCAGAAUGUCGUGGACCUCUACAAGGGUGGCUUUUUGGACAUUUUGACAACGCACAUUGCUGCUCCUCUAGAAGCAUUUGUGCAAAAAAAGUAA
rnacentral:lncRNA from 1 species